GUGUGUGUUGAAAGGAGAGAUGGUUGGCAUCACCCCCGACAGGGACGGGAACAGCCUUCGGGCUUUGCCUGUUAUCAGACAAGGCAUUAGCUGCAAGUAAUAAAACCUAGUGGGUCUUUUCAUACCUGUUU